rnacentral:rRNA from 1 species
CACGUAGGGCGCAAGCGUUGUCCGGAAUUAUUGGGCGUAAAGAGCUCGUAGGCGGUGUGUCGCGUCGGCCGUGAAAACCUGGGGCUUAACUCUGGGCGUGCGGUCGAUACGGGCAUCACUAGAGUUCGGCAGGGGAGACUGGAAUUCCUGGUGUAGCGGUGAAAUGCGCAGAUAUCAGGAGGAACACCGGUGGCGAAGGCGGGUCUCUGGGCCGAUACUGACGCUGAGGAGCGAAAGCGUGGGGAGCGAACAGG